rnacentral:rRNA from 1 species
UACGUAGGGGGGCGAGCGUUGUCCGAAGUUACUGGGCGUAAAGCGCGCGUAGGCGGGAGCGUAAGUCCGCUGUGAAAGCCCGGAGCUUAACUCCGGUUGGUCGGUGGAGACUGCGUUUCUUGAAGGGGCUAGAGGGAGAUGGAAUUACCGGUGUAGCGGUGAAAUGCGUAGAGAUCGGUAGGAACACCCGUGGCGAAGGCGGUCUCCUGGGGCCCUCUUGACGGCUGAGGCGCGAAAGCUGGGGGGAGCGAACGGGG